UACGAAGGGGGCUAGCGUUGCUCGGAAUCACUGGGCGUAAAGCGCACGUAGGCGGGUCUUUAAGUCAGGGGUGAAAUCCUGGAGUUCAACUCCAGAACUGCCUUCGAUACUGGCGAUCUCGAGUUCGGGAGAGGUGAGUGGAACUGCGAGUGUAGAGGUGAAAUUCGUAGAUAUUCGCAAGAACACCAGUGGCGAAGGCGGCUCACUGGCCCGAUACUGACGCUGAGGCACGAAAGCGUGGGGAGCAAACAGG
rnacentral:rRNA from 1 species